AUUGAACGCUGGCGGCAGGCCUAACACAUGCAAGUCGAACGAGUGGCGGACGGGUGAGUAAUUUCUGGGAAACUGCCUGAUGGAGGGGGAUAACUACUGGAAACGGUAGCUAAUACCGCAUACCAUCAGAUGUGCCCAGAUGGGAUAAGCUAGUUGUUGGGGUAACGGCUCACCAAGGCGACGAUCCCUAGCUGGUCUGAGAGGAUGACCGGCGACACGGGAACUGAGACACGGUCCAGACUCCUCGGGGAGGCGGCGGUGGGGAAUAUUGCACAAUGGGCGCAAGCCUGAUGGACCGAUGCGGGGUGUAGGAAGAAGGCCUUCGGGUUGUAAAGUACUUUCAGCGGGGAGGCGUUACCCGCAGAAGAAGCACCGGCUAACUCCGUGCCAGCCGCCGCGGUAAUAC
rnacentral:rRNA from 1 species